rnacentral:tRNA from 1 species
GUUUGAAUAGCUUAUUAAGAGUGUAGUAUUGAAGAUACUGAGGAAAUAUAUAUAUAUAUUUUUGAAUA